rnacentral:rRNA from 1 species
GUGGAUUAGAUACCCGGGUAGUCCACGCCCUAAACGAUGUCGACUAGUCGUUCGGAGCAGCAAUGCACUGAGUGACGCAGCUAACGCGUGAAGUCGACCGCCUGGGGAGUACGGCCGCAAGGUUAAAACUCAAAGGAAUUGACGGGGACCCGCACAAGCGGUGGAUGAUGUGGAUUAAUUCGAUGCAACGCGAAAAACCUUACCUACCCUUGACAUGUCUGGAACCUUGGUGAGAGCCGAGGGUGCCUUCGGGAGCCAGAACACAGGUGCUGCACGGCCGUCGCCAACU